UACAGAGGGUGCGAGCGUUGUUCGGAAUUAUUGGGCGUAAAGGGUGCGUAGGUGGCGUGGUAAGUCUGGUGUGAAAUCCCGGGGCUCAACCCCGGAACUGCACUGGAUACUGCCAUGCUUGAGUACUGGAGAGGAGAUUGGAAUUUACGGUGUAGCAGUGAAAUGCGUAGAUAUCGUAAGGAAGACCAGUGGCGAAGGCGAAUCUCUGGACAGUUACUGACACUGAGGCACGAAGGCCAGGGGAGCAAACGGG
rnacentral:rRNA from 1 species